CCUGGCUGCUGCUCCAGGUGCCCUGGGGCCUGUCCCGGCUACCAGCAUGCCAGACUCAGACUCUGGCUCUGGCUCCUUCGCAGGGUCACCUAUCGGACUCAGACAACGACUCGACGACGUGGACAUCCCCAGCAGCUGUGACCCAGCCAGGCCCAUGCUGCCAGCCGACGCUGACGUGCCACCCCCACUGCCCCCCAAGGUA